rnacentral:rRNA from 1 species
UACGGAGGAUGCGAGCGUUAUCCGGAAUUAUUGGGUUUAAAGGGUGCGUAGGCGGUAUGUGAAGUCGGUGGUGAAAUCCCGGAGCUCGACUCCGGCGAGCCAUCGAAACUGACAUGCUUGAGAGGGAGAGAGGUCAGCGGAAUGCGCAGUGUAGCGGUGAAAUGCUUAGAUAUCGCGCAGAACUCCGAUUGCGAAGGCAGCCUACCGGCUCCAGACUGACGCUGAGGCACGAAAGCGUGGGUAUCGAACAGG